rnacentral:rRNA from 1 species
CUACGGGAGGCAGCAGUAAGGAAUAUUGGACAAUGGGCGGAAGCCUGACGCAGCGACGCCGCGUGAGGGACGAAGGUCUUCGGAUUGUAAACCUCUUUCAGCAGGGACGAAGCGAAAGUGACUGUACCUGCAGAAGAAGCACCGGCUAACUACGUGCCAGCAGCCGCGGUAAUACGUAGGGUGCAAGCGUUGUCCGGAUUUAUUGGGCGUAAAGAGCUCGUAGGCGGUCUGUCGCGUCGGAUGUGAAAACCCAAUGGCUUAACCUUGGGCCUGCAUUCGAUACGGGCAGACUAGAGUGUGGUAGGGGAAACUGGAACUCCUGGUGUAGCGGUGGAAUGCGCAGAUAUCAGGAAGAACACCGAUGGCGAAGGCAGGUUUCUGGGCCAUAACUGACGCUGAGGCACGAAAGCUAGGGGAGCGAACGGGAUUAGAAACCCCAGUAGUCC